AUGCACGCUGGCGGCGUGCCUAAUCCCUGCAAGUCGAGCGCACAGACGAGGAGCUUGCUCCUCUGACGUUAGCGGCGGACGGGUGAGUAACACGUGGAUAACCUACCUAUAAGACUGGGAUAACUUCGGGAAACCGGAGCUAAUACCGGAUAAUAUAUUGAACCGCAUGGUUCAAUAGUGAAAGACGGUUUUGCUGUCACUUAUAGAUGGAUCCGCGCCGCAUUAGCUAGUUGGUAAGGUAACGGCUUACCAAGGCAACGAUGCGUAGCCGACCUGAGAGGGUGAUCGGCCACACUGGAACUGAGACACGGUCCAGACUCCUACGGGAGGCAGCAGUAGGGAAUCUUCCGAAAUGGGCGGAAGCCUGACGGAGCAACGCCGCGUGAGUGAUGAAGGUCUUCGGAUCGUAAAACUCUGUUAUUAGGGAAGAACAAAUGUGUAAGUAACUAUGCACGUCUUGACGGUACCUAAUCAGAAAGCCACGGCUAACUACGUG
rnacentral:rRNA from 1 species